CCUACGGGAGGCUGCAGUGAGGAAUAUUGGUCAAUGGACGAGAGUCUGAACCAGCCAAGUAGCGUGAAGAAUGACUGCCCUAUGGGUUGUAAACUUCUUUUAUAUGGGAAUAAAACGUUCCACGUGUGGGAUUUUGUAUGUACCAUAUGAAUAAGGAUCGGCUAACUCCGUGCCAGCAGCCGCGGUAAUACGGAGGAUCCGAGCGUUAUCCGGAUUUAUUGGGUUUAAAGGGAGCGUAGGUGGAUUGUUAAGUCAGUUGUGAAAGUUUGCGGCUCAACCGUAAAAUUGCAGUUGAAACUGGCAGUCUUGAGUACAGUAGAGGUGGGCGGAAUUCGUGGUGUAGCGGUGAAAUGCUUAGAUAUCACGAAGAACUCCGAUUGCGAAGGCAGUUCACUGGACUGCAACUGACACUGAGGCUCGAAAGUGUGGGUAUCAAACAGGAUUAGAUACCCUGGUAGUC
rnacentral:rRNA from 1 species